GGCCGCUCUGGCCAGCGGGCAGUGGGGCGGUGUCAGCUGUGGGCGUGGGGGUCGGGGAGGCCGCCGCAGGGCGCUCUCUCGGGGCUCCCGCCUCUUCCUCCCAACACGCUGCCCGGUCUGGGCGGUCUGGGCGGCGGUGCUGCCCCCUGCCAGCCCUCGCUCGGUGCGCCGGGACUCCGGCCGCAGCCCAGGCCUGGGCGUCCUUCCCAUCCUUCCCAGGGACGGGCUCUGCUGGACGGCGGGCGGGCGGCCGACGCUCCGUGUGGCGGGGGAGGUCUCUGAGGGUGGCCUUCAGGGCUCUGUCCUGGGUCCUGUCACACUGUUGACCAAACGUGUGCCUGACUGCAGCUCAGGAGGGAGCUGGAACAUGGGCUGAGACAGUCAGGGCCCAAGAACCUGUCAAGAGGCUGGCACCGGCUCUGAUGUGUGGAGCUUAACGGGGCUUCACGCCAGGGUCAGCGCGUGGGUCCAGACACCUUCAGGGCCAGGUGAGGCUCAGACCCCAGGUAUGUUCGUGUGACAAGCACUGGCAGCCAGGUGACCUUGGCUUUCUGUGAACAGAGCACAUGGGCUCUUGGACUGUAUCACGAGGAGCAAGACACCCAGAAUGUGGGAGAUGACAGACCCUCCCACAUCAUGUUCCAUGUGAGGGGGUGUAGAGGAGCCACAGCAUGUCCCAGAGAGGUGUCUGGCCGAGGAGCCUGAGCCCCUGUCUAGCGAGCAGAGCCUGGGAAGGAGUCUGAAGGACGCUAGGAUCAAGAAGUGCAGCCCCUGGCAGCUCAGACACCCCGCUAGCAUGCGAGAGAGGAGACACUGUACUUAGCGGUCCCAAUCCAGGCAUACUGCCUGGAGGAGGGGUGCUAAUUGAUAUUAAUUUGUCACGAUUGAUCAUCUCUUUUUAAGUCUGAAAGAAACCUUUUUCAUACUUUAAUCAGCUCAUUAAUCUUAGCAACACCAGCCUAUGAGCGGGCGAAAUGUGUUCACUUUGUAGAGGUGGGGAAGCCGGGGCAGGCAGGGGGACAGACCUUGGUGUUGAGGUAGGAUUUGGUCUAGGUCCCCACCCCGGGUCCCAUGGUCCCAUCGCUCUCCUUACAAAUGGCUCCCCAGUCUGGGUCCUCCUGAUGGGAGGGAUGUGGUUGGAGGUCAUGCCGGUGGCCCCCAUGUCCCCUGGCCAGGCCCCCAGACCAUGGCGAAGGGAGGGACACGCUGUGUGGACCAGGCACUGCAGCCAGCGGGUCUGUGGGAGGAGCCUCCUGGCUUGGUCUCUCGGGUUCUCUCUCUGGGGCACGUCCCUCCAUCCUGGGCAUGGACUCACCCCCUCUCCUCCACACCCCGCCCUGACAGCCCCCUCAGAGUCUGCCUUCUUGGAGAGCCGCCCCGCAGCAACCGCCCUUGGCUGCCUCCCCGCCCACUUGGUUCAGGAGAACAAGUUCCAGGCACUUGUCUCACCGACCGGGGCCGGGGUGGGGGGAGUUUGGGUGGCCACUGUAUGCCAGAGAGGCCUGGAGUCUUGGGCAGGAGACUCGGGGGAGCCCGCAGAGGCAGGACUCAUGGCAGGGAUGAGAGCUGGAGGGCGGGUUCCGGGCUGUGAGGCCGAGCGCAGCCAGCAGGAAGGGCCAACCGGAACACCUGGGCACAGCAAUGAGCACGGCCGUCAUUUAUGACUCGUGGGACGGCCCCGUGAAAUCUUUGGAAGAAACUGUGUGCUGGAUCGGAGCCCGGUGUGCGUGCCGGGCCAGCAGCCUGGGAAGGAGGCAUCGUGUGGAUCUGGGAGCCGAGGCUACAGUGGCAGCACCUGUCAGAGCGCAGGCCGGGGAGCUGCAGGUCGCAUGGGGCACGUGGGCUCCGCCUGCAGGCAAAGCAAGGUGAGGCUUGUGGCCAGCCCCGGCCAGGUGCCCUGCUGCAGAUGAAGCCGCAUGUGGGCCUGAGGGGCAGGCACCUUCUGCGGGGACCACACCUGUGAGGGCCUCCAGAAGGGAACGGGGUCCGCCUGGCCCUGCCCAGGAGGCCCGGGGCAGGGGUCUGCUUGGAUGGGUGUAUCUGCUGGGCACCCACGGCCACCCCGUCUUCGCCACCAGAGCUUACUGGCCUGGCUUUGCGUGUGGGCCGGAGAUGCCAACCCAAGCCAGAGCUACCCUCAUUCCUAAAACAGGGGAACAGAACAGUGGGGGUGGGUGUUAGGCUAGUUCCCUAAAUGACAUCCUAUACUUGGGCACUAAAGUUUUAGCUUUAACAGGUCAGAGAGUGUCUGCUUCAAACACGGCUGUUCCUUUGGUUUUCACCUCGGCCAGCCCAACACAGAGGGAGACCCACCGCCGCGCGGCUCUCUGGUCCCGAACGCCCGGGUGGUUUGCUUAGCAGCCAGGCCGCCUGGGCUCUGUUGCUGUCGCACUUGGGAGCUGGGUGGCCUGGGGCGCAUUCCUGGUUUCUCCUACUUCUGUCCUGUGUGGCAGAUGGGCCGCUGCCUCCUCGAAGGGAUGUCGUCAGGGGAGCAGGAGAGGUCUUCAGACGGGACCUGCUCGUGGAGCCAGCUCGGGCUGACGUCUGGGUCCCUGCCUCCAGCCCAGCGGCCCCAGCGUCUUUCCCGCUGCCUCCCUCUGGGCGUGAACACGGCUGGGCAGCAGGGACUGGGCAUGGGUGAGAGAGCUCGUCCCUGCUUUGGUGACAGGCACGCUCAGCCACCUGGGUGGAGGUGGCACAGAGGGGUGAAGUCUCGGAGCCUAAGGAGGCUGAGGCAGGGUGCAGGGCAGCAGCACCGCAGUGCAGCGCAGCGCUGGGGCUGGGCCGGGAGGGGAGAGAGGAGAGGAGCAGGAACUGGCACGUGCCCACACAGGCUCUUCACACGUGGAGCAUCAUUUAUCCCUCUGGCAGGAGAGGGCGUCCUUAUUCCUGUUUGCAUAUGCAAAGUGGAGGCCCCCACGGGGAAGGCGAGUUGACCCAAGUCGCAGAGGAGGCAGAGCUGGGAUUGAAGCCCCUGCGUCCUGUGUCCCUGAGGGCCCGCAGGGACCAGGAGUGGGUAUGGCUCUAGGGCCAGGCUCUGCCUGUCCUGGGCAGGGGACGCGCAUGGGCCUGGACAGACAUGCCUGUGCAUGUGCCUCUGUGUUCUGAUGUUCCCCCACUGCAGCAAGGAAACUCUCGGGGAAACUAGGGCAGUGGGGCGGCUCUCUGACACCUCCUACAGCAUUGGCACCUGGGGGUGGCUUCCACAUUGGAGCCUGGUGCCCAGGCCCAGCCUGUUCUCUGCACAUGCCUCCCCUGAUCCUGCCCGGCUCCCGACCCCAGCCUGUCUGCUAGGGUGGAGGGGGGUCAGGGGCUGCACAGUGCCCUGGAAUAAUAAAAGUAAUUAGUGGUUCAGACGUUGUAUGCACGAGUAAAUGAUCAUUCUUUGUUAUCUGCAUUCUGCAGCUAAGGAAAUAGAGGCCAGAGGAGCAUAGUGACCUGCCCAAGGUCACAUAGCUAGGCAGCUGUGGGGCAGGAUUCUGAUGCGGGUGGUGAGCAGGGCCAGUGGGGCCUAGCUCUGGUUUUGCUCAGUGGGCAGUCCCAGGACAGCCCCUCAAGGCCACCAGGGCCAAGACCCUGCCCCAGCUGUCAUUCUCCAGCCCUGCUGUGGCCAGGCCAGAGGGAGGCAUUGGGUACACAUCACCUCCACUGAACUGCCUUGCCGUGCCCACAACGUGGGGGCUGGGGCUCAGAGGGGUCCCAGGCCACUCUGAUGCCAAAGUCCAGCUUUUAUCCUCCCUGCUGUGCUACUCCAGAGUGUCUGGUGGUGCUUUGCCGGCCCGUCCUCCCCUGCUGCUUGUGGAGUCAAGUAUCCGCCCUCCUCCCCCAGGCCCAAUGCCUGCUUAUGCAGCUAAGGGAAGGGGAGAGCCUGGCCAGUCUAGACACAGAGGGGCAGAGAGGCAGGGUCAGCCCCGCAUGGGUGCGGGAGGCAGGGGCCGGAUCUCUCAGUCUCAGGGUUGGGAAGGCACGUGGAGGUCCCCCUGCCCAUCAGAUGUCCUUUCUGACACCUGAGUCCCCGAGGCUGUAUGGUAGCUGUUAGGAACCGAGUUUGUGGCAUCAGACAGUAUGCUGUGAAUUCCAGCUCCAGUACUUACCAGCUCUGUGGCCUUAGACAUGUUACUUAAGCUCUCUGUGUCUCAGUUUCCCCAUUUGAUAAAGGGAAAGUGAUAGUAGAACCCAUGUGGCAGGGCUGUUAGAGAAGUGAAUGGGGUGUUUAUUUACCGUGGCAGGAGUGAUGCUUGGCUCGCAGGCUCUCGGCAAAUCCUAGUCAAAGUGGUCAUUAGCAGCUGCAGGGUAUUCUAGGAAGACAGCAAGGCGCCCCCAGCUCAUAUGUGUAACUAAUGCCAGAGCCAGGACAGGGACGGGCUGGAGCUUGCUGCAGCUUUCCCCACCCACCGCAACCCCACGCCCCCCAGACCUCAGCCCCGAGUUUCCUAUCACCUGAGGACAGCCCGGUGGGGGUGGAUGAAUGGAUGGGGAUGGGGGUUACCAUUUUCACAUUAACUGUUUAUAUAUGUGCACCUGCCUUAUUCCGUCAAGUAAUUGAGAGAGCUUCUAAGCAUAAGUAUGGUACCAAGAUAGACAAUCCAAGCCAGGGGAAACUGGGAUGCAAUAGGAAGAAAAGGCUUGGAAAACAUUAGAACAUGGACACAUAGGGUCUGAUGUCGGGCUGAAUAUUUGGCCCUGUGAUUCCUGAUGGUCGGGAUGAAAAGGGAAAUAUCAGUUUCGAGAUUCAUGCUGUGCACAGGAGCAAAGCAGCACAGAGUCCCCGAGAAGGAGCGGGUUUCCUCGAGGAGUGAGAGCUGCGUCUGCCCACCCAUCUCUGCAACCCAAGGCAGACCAGAGUCUGCAGGAUGGAGGUCAGGUGCUGGACCUGGGUCAGGGGCUGGCCAGUUCCAGGCAGGAAGACCCUCUGUCUGCAUAGGGCGAUGCUGGGGCCCAGGGCAAAGACCAUGUGGCUGGGAGGGUGGGGUAGGCGCUGGGCCAUAGCCCCCCAGCUUCCAGCUCCCCUAGCUCUGGAUUCUCUUGGGCAGUUGGGUCUGGGCCUGAGGCUAGCUCUGCCUGUUCCAUUCCCCUCCUCUCUUCAAGAACCCUCAGUGUCUCCCCAUUGCCUGAGCAUCUGCUGUGGCUCCCUAAGCCUGGCCUCAGCCCAGCUCAGCCCUUGGGGCUCCCUCACAGCCCCUCCCUCAGCCCCACGCUGCAAGUGCUCGCCUCGCCUCCCCCUGCUCGCCUCGCCUCCCCCUUCACCGAAGCCCCCAGUGCCGGCUGGGCUCCUGGGGGCGUGGGGCAGCCUGCAGCCUUGCAGGAAGGAGGGUUACAGAGAAGGGACGUGUAGCAGUCACAGGGCUGGGUUCCAGUUUGCAGAAGGUCUUGCACAUAUUUGGCCGAGCCCAGACCACCAAACAGCCCGUGAAAUGGGGUGGCAGCACCCCACCGGGAACACGGCCCCUGCUUCAGCCCUGCCCGCUGUGUGCCAGCCACUGCUCUAAGCAUUUUACACCAUUUAUUUAUUUCAUUUUCACCACAGCCCAUAGGCUGUUUUUACAGGAGGGACUGAAGCUCGGAGAGGUUAAGUGUAAUAAUUUGCCCGAAGUUACACAGUCCUUAAGUGGCAGCGCAGGGUUAGAACCCAGCAGUCUGGAUUCAGUAGAAAGGGAAGGCGCCCACCCGAGCUUUUGUCUCCUCGGCUCCUCCCUCUCCCUCCUGAGGGCUGCAGAGGGAACAGGGAGACCUCCGUUCCAGGUGAGGGAGCAGGACCCAGAGGGCAGGGCCUGCCGGUCAGACGGAGGGAGUGGAUACCGUGGGCUCCCAUCAGCGCCUCUGAUCCCCAGCUGGGGCUGGGGCUGCCCUCACUCAGGCCCCUCCCGCAGUGCUGGGAGGGGGGCCAGGACUGAGGCGGGAAGGGCCACAGGAAGUCCUCCUCUGGGAGUGACCAUUGCGCAGGUCCCUGUCUACCGCACCCACUCCCAUCCCAGCCCUGAGAGGAGGCUUUGCUCUCUGGCCUGGCUGGGAACUGGGUGGGCUCCAGUUCUCAGCAGGCCCUAAGCGGGUGGCCUGUGG